rnacentral:lncRNA from 1 species
AUUGCAUUUCCAACCAACCUAUCACUCAUUAACGAACUUCCAAAAUAUGUGACUCCUUUUCUAGCCGAUCUCAAAUUAAAUGUUCUAACUAAGGAUUUAAGGCUUAAAAAUAAUGGAUUAAAGGUUCUAUCUAUCUUUUCCCAUCCACACCUAUAAGAGAGAUUGAAGACUUAUCUUUCUUGCAUCUUUUUUCUAGAUUCUACCC